AUUGAACGCUGGCGGCAUGCUUUACACAUGCAAGUCGAACGGCAGCGCGGGCUUCGGCCUGGCGGCGAGUGGCGAACGGGUGAGUAAUACAUCGGAACGUGCCCAGCAGUGGGGGAUAGCUCGGCGAAAGCCGGAUUAAUACCGCAUACGACCUGAGGGUGAAAGCGGGGGAUCUUCGGACCUCGCGCUAUUGGAGCGGCCGAUGGGAGAUUAGCUAGUUUGUGGGGUAAAGGCCUACCAAGGCGACGAUCUGUAGCUGGUCUGAGAGGACGACCAGCCACCCUGGGACUGAGACACGGCCCAGAGUACUACGGGAGGCAGCAGUGGGGAAUGUUGGACAAUGGGCGAAAGCCUGAUCCAGCAAUGCCGCGUGUGUGAUGAAGGCGUUCGGGUUGUAAAGCACUUUUGGCGGGAACGAAAAGGACUGUGCCAAUACCACGGUUCGAUGACGGUACCCGCAGAAUAAGCACCGGCUAACUACGUG
rnacentral:rRNA from 1 species